AUUGAACGCUGGCGGCAUGCCUUACACAUGCAAGUCGAACGGUAACAGGUCUUCGGAUGCUGACGAGUGGCGAACGGGGGAGUAAUAUAUCGGGACGUGCCCAGUCGUGGGGGAUAGCCCGGCGAAAGCCGGAUUAAUACCGCAUACGACCUGAGGGGGAAAGGGGGGGAUUCGCAAGAACCUCUCGCUAUUGGAGCUGCCGAUAUCAGCUUAGGUAGUUGGUGGGGUAAAGGCCUACCAAGCCUGCGAUCUGUAGUUGGUCUGAGAGGACGACCAGCCACACUGGGACUGAGACACGGCCCAGACUCCUACGGGAGGCAGCAGUGGGGAAUUUUGGACAAUGGGCGCAAGCCUGAUCCAGCAAUGCCGCGUGCAGGAAGAAGGCCUUCGGGUUGUAAACUGCUUUUGUCAGGGAAGAAAUCCUCUGGGUUAAUACCUCGGGGGGAUGACGGUACCUGAAGAAUAAGCACCGGCUAACUACGUGCCAGCCGCCGCCGUAAGAC
rnacentral:rRNA from 1 species